AUUGAACGCUGGCGGCAUGCCUUACACAUGCAAGUCGAACGGUAACGCGGGGCAACCUGGCGACGAGUGGCGAACGGGUGAGUAAUGCAUCGGAACGUGCCCAGUAGUGGGGGAUAGCCCGGCGAAAGCCGGAUUAAUACCGCAUACGACCUACGGGUGAAAGCGGGGGACCGUAAGGCCUCGCGCUAUUGGAGCGGCCGAUGUCAGAUUAGGUAGUUGGUGGGGUAAAGGCCUACCAAGCCUUCGAUCUGUAGCUGGUCUGAGAGGACGACCAGCCACACUGGGACUGAGACACGGCCCAGACUCCUACGGGAGGCAGCAGUGGGGAAUUUUGGACAAUGGGCGCAAGCCUGAUCCAGCCAUGCCGCGUGCGGGAAGAAGGCCUUCGGGUUGUAAACCGCUUUUGUCAGGGAAGAAACGCUCCGGGCUAAUACCCUGGGGUAAUGACGGUACCUGAAGAAUAAGCACCGGCUAACUACGUGCCAGCAGCCGCGG
rnacentral:rRNA from 1 species